rnacentral:rRNA from 1 species
GACGAACGCUGGCGGCGUGCCUAAUACAUGCAAGUCGAGCGCAGGAAGCUCACGGAACUCUUCGGAGGGAAGUGAAGGGAAUGAGCGGCGGACGGGUGAGUAACACGUAAGGAACCUGCCCCAAGGAUUGGGAUAACUCCGAGAAAUCGGAGCUAAUACCGAAUAGUUCUUCAGACCGCAUGGUCUGAUGAUGAAAGGCGCUCCGGCGUCACCUUGGGAUGGCCUUGCGGUGCAUUAGCUAGUUGGUGGGGUAAUGGCCCACCAAGGCGACGAUGCAUAGCCGACCGGAGAGGGUGAUCGGCCACACUGGGACUGAGACACGGCCCAGACUCCUACGGGAGGCAGCAGUAGGGAAUCUUCCACAAUGGACGAAAGUCUGAUGGAGCAACGCCGCGUGAGUGAUGAAGGUUUUCGGAUCGUAAAACUCUGUCGUAAGGGAAGAACAGGUAUGAGAGGUAAUGCUCAUGCUAUGACGGUACCUUACGAGAAAGCCACGGCUAACUACGUGCCAGCAGCCGCAGUAACAC